rnacentral:rRNA from 1 species
UACGUAGGGUGCGAGCGUUAAUCGGAAUUACUGGGCGUAAAGCGCACGCAGGCGGUCUGCUAAGUUUGGAGUGACAGUUGGUGGCUUAACUGCCAAAGUGCUUCGAAAACUGACAGACUUGAGGGCUUCAGAGGGACACGGAAUUCCGGGUGGAGUGGUGAAAUGCGUAGAGAUCCGGAAGAACACCGGUGGCGAAGGCGGUCUGCUGGGCCAACACUGACGCUGAGGCGCGACAGCGUGGGGAGCAAACAGG